UACGUAGGGGCCAAGCGUUGUCCGGAUUUAUUGGGCGUAAAGAGCUCGUAGGCGGUUGGGUAAGUCGGGUGUGAAAACUCCAGGCUCAACUUGGAGAUGCCACCCGAUACUGCUCUGACUUGAGUUCGGUAGGGGAGUGGGGAAUUCCUGGUGUAGCGGUGGAAUGCGCAGAUAUCAGGAAGAACACCCGUGGCGAAGGCGGCUCUCUGGGACGGUACUGACGCUGAGACGCGAAAGCGUGGGGAGCGAACAGG
rnacentral:rRNA from 1 species